rnacentral:rRNA from 1 species
GACGAACGUUGGCGGCGCGCUUAAUGCAUGCAAGUCGAACGAGAACCAGUGAGUUCGUAAGAACCCGCUGGGGACAGUGGCGAACGGGUGCGUAACACGUGAGAAACCUGCCCUGGAGACCGGGAUAGCGCGGGGAAACCCGCAUUAAUACCGGAUACCUUCACCGGACCGCAUGGUCUGAUGAAGAAAUGGUCCGCCGCUCCAGGAUGGUCUCGCGGCCUAUCAGCUUGUUGGCGAGGUAACGGCUCACCAAGGCAUCGACGGGUAGCUGGUCUGAGAGGACGAUCAGCCACACUGGGACUGAGACACGGCCCANACUCCUACGGGAGGCAGCAGCAGGGAAUAUUGCACAAUGGGCGAAAGCCUGAUGCAGCGACG